AUGGGGUUAUGGCUCAGCAGUAGAGCACCUGCCUAGCAUGUGUGGGGCCCUGGGUUCAAAUCUCAGCACCACAUA
rnacentral:tRNA from 1 species